GAUGAACGCUGGCGGCGUGCCUAAUACAUGCAAGUCGAGCGAACGGACGAUAAGCUUGCUUCUCUGCUGUUAGCGGCGGACGGGUGAGUAACACGUGGAUAACCUACCUAUAAGACUUGGAUAACUUCGUGAAACCGGAGCUACUACCGGAUAAUAUUUUGAACCGCAUGGUUCAAAAGUUCAUGACGGUCUUGCUGUCACUUAUAGCUGGAUCCGCGCUGCAUUAGCUAGUUGGUAAGGUAACGGCUUACCAAGGCAACGAUGCAUAGCGGACCUGAGAGGGUGAGAGGACACACUGGAACUGAGACACGGUCCAGACACCUACGGGAGGCAGCAGUAGGGAAACUUCCGCAAUGGGCGAAAGACUGACGGAGCAACGUCGCGUGAGUGAUGAAGGGCUUCGGAUCGUAAAACUCUGUUAUUAGGGAAGAACAUAUGUGUAAGUAACUGUGCACAUCUUGACGGUACCUAAUCAGAAAGACAAGGCUAAAUACGUG
rnacentral:rRNA from 1 species